rnacentral:rRNA from 1 species
CCUACGGGUGGCUGCAGUGGGGAAUAUUGGACAAUGGGCGCAAGCCUGAUCCAGCAAUGCCGCGUGUGUGAAGAAGGCCUGCGGGUUGUAAAGCACUUUCAGUGGGGAGGAAGGCCUCGAUAUUAAUACUAUUGAGGAUUGACGUUACCCACAGAAGAAGCACCGGCUAACUCUGUGCCAGCAGCCGCGGUAAUACAGAGGGUGCUUGCGUUACUCGGAAUUAGUGGGCGUAGUGGCUUAAGUGGGAGUUGAAAGCCCCGGGCUCAACCUGGGAAUUGCAUUUGAUACUGAGUAACUUGAGUAUGGUAGAGGGAAGUGGAAUUUCCAGUGUAGCGGUGAAAUGCGUAGAUAUUGGAAGGAACAUCAGUGGCGAAGGCGACUUCCUGGACCAUUACUGACACUGAGGCACGAAAGCGUGGGGAGCGAACAGGAUUAGAUACCCGAGUAGUC